rnacentral:tRNA from 1 species
GCGGGUAUGGUACAACGGUAGAACCUCAGCCUUCCAAGCUGAUGAUGCGGGUUCGAUUCCCGCUACCCGCUCCA